rnacentral:rRNA from 1 species
CCUACGGGAGGCAGCAGUGAGGAAUAUUGGUCAAUGGACGCGAGUCUGAACCAGCCGAGUAGCGUGAAGGAUGACUGCCCUAUGGGUUGUAAACUUCUUUUAUAAAGGAAUAAAACGAGGCACGUGUGCCUUUUUGCAUGUACUUUAUGAAUAAGGAUCGGCUAACUCCGUGCCAGCAGCCGCGGUAAUACGGAGGAUCCGAGCGUUAUCCGGAUUUAUUGGGUUUAAAGGGAGCGUAGAUGGGUUGUUAAGUCAGUUGUGAAAGGUUGCGGCUCAACCGUAAAAUUGCAAUUGAUACUGGCAGUCUUGAGUACAGUUGAAGUAGGCGGAAUUCGUGGUGUAGCGGUGAAAUGCUUAGAUAUCACGAAGAACCCCGAUUGCGAAGGCAGCUUACUAAACUGUGACUGACAUUGAUGCUCGAAAGUGUGGGUAUCAAACAGGAUUAGAUACCCGAGUAGUC